GGAAAGGUAUCGAAGUGGUCAUAACGGUGCUGACUCGAAAUCAGUUUGAGGUUAAACUCACGUGGGUUCGAAUCCCACCCUUUCUGCCA
rnacentral:tRNA from 1 species